CCGCGCUCUGCGCCCGGGGCCUCGGUACCGCCUCCUCCCGGGCGGCCGCAACUACCGCCGCCAUCCUCCCGCUCACACGGCGGCUCGCGGAAGUUCAGCAAUAUCGAUGAUAAGACUAUGAACAGCGAAAACAAAAGAAAUAACCAAGAAGGCAGAAGCCAGCUCCAUCUUAAUUAGACCUAUCCCGUAAAACUGAUGUUGGAGGAAGCGCAGUUGGAAGAAGGCAAGAUAAUCGAGCCUGACCUUCAGUAGUAAAGCAAAAACUGUGGUGCAGAGAAAGCUACACCCGAUUUAGGAGACCAGGGGUCUGGGUCUGGGAGCAGAAAUAACUUACAUGCAGUAAGCAAAUUUUACCUUUUUGGACAUUCGUUUCCUGACCUGGGAUUAAAUCCCUAGGGCACCCGCAGCCUUAAAAUCCAAUAAUUUCUCUAGGGGCCCCUGACUGGCUCGGUCGGCAGACCGUGGGGGGUGUGAGUUUAAGCCCCCAGGUUGGGUGUAGAGAUGACUUAAAUAGAUAAAUAAACUUAAAAAAAAAAAAUCCCACUAUGUCUCUAAAAUGGCAUUUAGCAAAAUUCUCUUCGGUUCAUUACUGUGAUGUAGUAUCUUGGUGACAGAGCAUGGUCUGGAAAUUCGUUUUGAAAAUGGCUGAAGUGUCCUCUCUGUGAAAAUAGCAACCGGUAUUUUUGUACAAACUGUAAAAGUAAAUCUUUUUUUCCAUA